UACAGAGGUGGCGAGCGUUGUCCGGAUUCAUUGGGCGUAAAGCGCGCGCAGGCGGCUCGGAAAGUCGGGUGUGAAAACUCGGGGCUCAACCCCGGGCGUGCAUCCGAUACUGCCGGGCUUGAGGCAGGUAGGGGAGAUCGGAAUUCCUGGUGUAGCGGUGAAAUGCGCAGAUAUCAGGAGGAACACCGGUGGCGAAGGCGGAUCUCUGGGCCUGUCCUGACGCUGAGGCGCGAAAGCUAGGGGAGCGAACAGG
rnacentral:rRNA from 1 species